rnacentral:rRNA from 1 species
UACGUAGGGGGCUAGCGUUGUCCGGAAUCAUUGGGCGUAAAGCGCGCGUAGGCGGCCAGAUAAGUCCGGUGUGAAAGUCACAGGCUCAACCUGUGAAUGCCGCUGGAAACUGUCUGGCUAGAGUCCGGAAGGGGCGAGUGGAAUUCCUGGUGUAGCGGUGAAAUGCGCAGAUAUCAGGAGGAACACCGGUGGCGAAGGCGGGUCUCUGGGCCGAUACUGACGCUGAGGAGCGAAAGCGUGGGGAGCGAACAGG